UACGUAGGGCGCAAGCGUUGUCCGGAAUUAUUGGGCGUAAAGAGCUCGUAGGCGGUUUGUCGCGUCUGCUGUGAAAACCUAAGGCUCAACCUUGGGCUUGCAGUGGGUACGGGCAGACUAGAGUGCGGUAGGGGUGACUGGAAUUCCUGGUGUAGCGGUGGAAUGCGCAGAUAUCAGGAGGAACACCGAUGGCGAAGGCAGGUCACUGGGCCGCAACUGACACUGAGGAACGAAAGCUAGGGGAGCGAAUGGG
rnacentral:rRNA from 1 species